CUGGUCUCAAUCAGGUAGGAUCACCCGCUGAACUUAAGCAUAUCAAUAAGCGGAGGA
rnacentral:rRNA from 1 species